UUCUUCGGGGCAGGGUGAGCCGCGCGCGCAGCGGCAAUUCCCGACCGGCGGUAUAGCCCGCGAGCCGCAAGGCUGACAUGGUGUAAUUCCAUGGCCGACAGUACAGUCUGGAUGAGAGAAGA
rnacentral:ncRNA from 1 species